UAGUCCACGCCGUAAACGAUGGGUACUAGAUGUUGUGAGAUAGACCCUCACAGUGUCGCAGCUAACGCACUAAGUACCCCGCCUGGGAAGUACGGCCGCAAGGUUAAAACUCAAAGGAAUUGACGGGGGCCCGCACAAGCGGUGGAGCAUGUGGUUUAAUUCGAUGCAACGCGAGAAACCUUACCUGGGUUUGACAUCCCCGGACCGCUCUAGAAAUAGAGUUUCCUCUUCGGAGGCCGGGUGACAGGUGCUGCAUGGCUGUCGUCAGCUCGUAUCGUGAGAUGUCGGGUUAAGUCCCUUAACGAGCGCAACCCCUAUCCCUAGUUGCCAUCAUUCAGUUGGGCACUCUACGGAGACUGCCGGUGUUAAACCGGAGGAAGGUGGGGAUGACGUCAAGUCCUCAUGGCCUUUAUAUCCAGGGCUACACACGUGCUACAAUGGCCGGUACAAAGGGUAGCCAAGCCGCAAGGUGGAGCUAAUCUCAGAAAGCCGGUACUCAGUUCGGAUUGGAGUCUGCAACUCGA
rnacentral:rRNA from 1 species